rnacentral:lncRNA from 1 species
GACGAUGCUAAUUGGUGGCCGUGCUAUCCAGGGUAAUCUUGAUUUGACGACGUUGUUCCAUGAUUAGGAGGAGAGAAUAUAACUACUCCCAGAUAUUAACUGCCGGUGGCUUUUCCGCAGUCUUCUGACUGGCGACUAGACUUGGUUGAACUCAACGGCCAAUUGACAGAGGAAUGGAUAGCACGCAGCGGUUUAACAUACAGUACGCGUUCAUAUGCAGCAUAACUUUUUUGUUCUUUUUUUUUCCGGAGAACUUUACUGCUAUCGAUUGUUCAUGCUCUCUUGUUCCGGGUUUACAAUGUUCACACAUGUUAAAAAACAAUUUUGAGUACCAAUUAAACAACUACAGUAAUCAGGGCCUGACAGUAAUGUACAAGUUGUUUGCUAUAUCAAUUGUGCAGUUAGAAACUUGUUUUGAAUCUGAAUUUCACCGGUAUAAUUUUUAUGACACGUAUCAUUGUUUCGUUGAUUAAAUAAUGGUUAAUUUAACGGUUUUGCUAGUGAUAAGUCACAUUUUUUUAGGUAGAGAUCUAUCGACAUGUUAGUUAUCGGAUCUUGAUCCAACAAUAGUAAGUGAGAGAUGAGAGAAUAUGGAUGAGCCUCAGAUCUUAAUUCAAGGGUUCUGAAACGUCGACUGACAUUUAAGGAUCAAUUUAAAAACCAGACGACUUAGAAAUAACCUCACCCUAAGUUUAAAUCUUUAAAUGUGUAGCGUUCUGUAACCCGAAAAGAAGUAGUACUAGUAUGUGACGUUGUAUGCAUGACAGAGGAAAAAGGAUAAAAAGAGAAGAAAAUCUGUACUUUGACAAAUGACGGUGUGGUUGUGAGAAUACCUGGAGGCUGCACUAAGCAUUUCGAUCACUUUUCACAACGUUGAAUUCCAAGUACAUAGUCAAUUAAUCAAGCAGAAUGGUUCACAUACCCUUUACAGAAAGAAAGAAAAAAUGGUUCCACAUACAGCAGGGAGAC